ensembl:snRNA Gm22828 predicted gene, 22828
AUACUCGAUUCGGCAGCAUAUAUACUAAAAUUGGAACAAUACAGAGAAGAUUAUCAUGGCCCCUGCACAAGGAUGACACGCAAAUUUAUAAAGCGUUCCAAAUUGUU